AUUUUACUCAGCAUCAUGGCCGACGUGGAUCCUUCCGACGCCGCAUCAGUCUCAACUUUCGCCGUGACAGCUGCUGUAGGGGCGAUUAUCAUCCUUAUUGCACUAAUGUGUAGUGUAGUUAGAGGAAAUAAGGACAAAUCAGAGAAUGGUGAAAAAGAAUCAGCAGAAGAACCGUCAACAAAAAAGAAUGAAAAAGCAGAGAAAGCUGGUAAAAAAGGGAAAUCACAGAAGCCUGUCAAGAGGUCACACAGUGUUCACUUCACCCAUCCAUGGCUGGCCUGUAACUUGAAAGGACACAGCGGACAUGUUUUAUCCUUAGACUUCAGUCCCAAUGGCAAAUACCUCAUCACAGCAAGUGAUGGUAAGACGGGGAGAGAUCUCUAUUUAAUUAAUACGGUAUCAAGAAAAUGUAAAUUAAUGAAAAAAUGUAAAUUAUUAUAAUUGUACAGGUACUUUGUGCCCAUAUACCGCAGGAGAAAACAAGGUUAAAUAUUUAUCUCAGAAAAGUAUUUUUGAAAAAAAAAAAUUUACUGAUGGGUAUGAAAAAUACAUAUUGUAGACAGAACAGUCCUAGUUUGGAGUACCAAAGAAUUUUCUCAAAAGGAGCACAAGUAAGAAAUAUAUAAAGUUUAACAAUGUUGGAAAAUACUACAGACAUAUAUAUUGUUAUAACCAUACUGUAGACAUAGAUGUUGUUUUUGCACUUCAUAUUGAGUGGCAUAAUUUUAUUCAUUCAUUAAACUUGCAGGUCAGUCAGAGGAAAUGUAGAGUAUGACCAUGCAUCCAGAGUGAAAUUUAGUCCAGAUUCCAAGGCAUUUGUAUGCAGUUUAGCAAAUGAAAAUACAGUAAGGAUAUUCCGCAUUGGUAAAAAAGACACAGGAGGUAUUGGAAAUAUCACAGCUGCUUUUGAUUUCGACAAGAAACAUUCAGCAGACAUUAUCUACAUUGGCAUUGCUAGCAAUGGGAAGUUCAUCAUGACAUGCAGCAGUGAUACAACACUUAUGAUUUGGUCCAUAAAAGGAGAUGUUUUGGAGACCAUAGACACAAGACAGAUGAAUAACUCAUUCGGAGCUGUAUCUCCCUGUGGAAGAUUUGUAGCAUCAUCAGGGUUUACGCCGGAUGUGAAGGUGUGGGAGGUGGGAUUUGACCGGGCAGGAAACUUCACAGGAUGUAAGAGGGCCUUCGAGUUAAAAGGUCAUUCAGCUGGGGUGUACAGUUUCAGUUUCAACAGUGAUUCUAGUCGAAUGGCAUCUGUUUCAAAAGACAAAACUUGGAAGUUUUGGAACACAGACAGUUAGUAUUUUCAAGUAUUAACUUUUAUGUCAGCAAUUGGCAAACAUUGUCAAAGAACUUCAUGUUUCAAGACCAAAUCACAUGUUAUGGACUCCAUCCUUUAUACAACUGUAAUUUGCUCACAGUACCUCAAAAUUUUAAAUGUUUCAUGCAUAUGGGUGCAUUGCAUUCAAACACAAAAACCCCUAUCUUUUGAAUAUAUCAAUGUUUCAUUGGAUUUAAACCUUUUUUUCUGCAGUAAGAUAUGAAAUGAAUCAGGAUCCAUAUCUGUUAAAAACUGGAAGCAUAGACUACACCUCCCCCUGUUUGAUCGCACUGUCCCCUGAUGGCAGGAGUGUGGCCAUUGCCAGUGAUAAUUCUCUAAGUGUCCAUAAUGCAGUGACAGGAAAGGAGGAGGAAACAUUCUCCAAUGUGUUCUCAGGGGAGGUAACUGACUUGUCCUUCGACUUGACCAACAAGUACCUUGUGUGUAGCGGUGAUAAACAUGUUUCUGUAUUCAAUAACAUCACAGGAUAUAGAGCUUCUAUUGAUGACCUUCAGGAAAAGCUCAAAUCUGGCAAUACUCAAUCUCAAAAAGAGAGGAUUCGACAGCAAAUCACUGAAGCCCAGGAGGCAUUGGAACAAUUAUUGGGACAGUCUAAUGGACAUGCAGGAGGCAAGAAAGACUAGAGAAUUCUUUGUUUAAUGUGUGUACCAUGUGUAAACAUUCCGCCAUGGAUCAUGACAAGACUUUAUUGGCAGCAAAUUCUAAAGUGCCACACAGUUAAAUUAUAUUUAUCAGUUCAUUUGAUAUUUUAAAUAAAGAUCAAUGUGAU
rnacentral:misc_RNA from 1 species